rnacentral:rRNA from 1 species
GACGUAGGGCGCGAGCGUUGUCCGGAUUUAUUGGGCGUAAAGGGCUCGUAGGCGGUUUGUCGCGUCGGGAGUGAAAACCAGGUGCUUAACACCUGGCUUGCUUUCGAUACGGGCAGACUAGAGGUAUGCAGGGGAGAACGGAAUUCCUGGUGUAGCGGUGAAAUGCGCAGAUAUCAGGAGGAACACCGGUGGCGAGGGCGGCACUCUGGGCCGAUACUGACACUGAGGAGCGAAAGCGUGGGGAGCGAACAGG